rnacentral:sRNA from 1 species
CUAGAAAGUCCAAAAUCUGCUAUUUUAGCUCGUAAGUUUUGACCCAACAGAAUGUUACUAGUCUUCACAUCCCGGUGAAUUAUUGACUUGUUGCAACCCUUGUGCAGAUA